CAGCCGCCGCGGUAAUACAGAGGAUGCAAGCGUUAUCCGGAAUAACUGGGCGUAAAGGGUGCGCAGGUGGUUUAACAAGUUAGUGGUGAAAGGCAUAGGCUCAACCAAUGUAAGCCAUUAAAACUGUUUAACUUGAGUGCAGGAGAGGAAAGUGGAAUUCCUAGUGUAGCGGUGAAAUGCGUAGACAUUAGGAAGAACACCAGUGGCGAAGGCGACUUUCUGGACGAAAACUGACGCUGAGGCGCGAAAGCCAGGGGAGCGAACGGGAUUAGAUACCCGGGUAGUCCCUGUCUCUUAUACA
rnacentral:rRNA from 1 species